UUCUCAGUAACGUAGCUAACGCGUGAAGUUGACCGCCCUGGGGGAGUACGGUCGCAAGAUUAAAACUCAAAGGAAUUGACGGGGACCCGCACAAGCGGNGGAUGAUGUGGAUUAAUUCGAUGCAACGCGAAAAACCUUACCUACCCUUGACAUGCCACUAACGAAGCAGAGAUGCAUUAGGUGCCCGAAAGGGAAAGUGGACACAGGUGCUGCAUGGCUGUCGUCAGCUCGUGUCGUGAGAUGUUGGGUUAAGUCCCGCAACGAGCGCAACCCUUGUCUCUAGUUGCUACGCAAGAGCACUCUAGAGAGACUGCCGGUGACAAACCGGAGGAAGGUGGGGAUGACGUCAAGUCCUCAUGGCCCUUAUGGGUAGGGCUUCACACGUCAUACAAUGGUGCGUACAGAGGGUUGCCAACCCGCGAGGGGGAGCUAAUCCCAGAAAACGCAUCGUAGUCCGGAUCGUAGUCUGCAACUCGACUACGUGAAGCUGGAAUCGCUAGUAAUCGCGGAUCAGCAUGC
rnacentral:rRNA from 1 species